GAUGAACGCUGGCGGCGUGCUUAACACAUGCAAGUCGAACGGAAAGGCCCAAGCUUGCUUGGGUACUCGAGUGGCGAACGGGUGAGUAACACGUGGGUGAGCUGCCCUGCACUUCGGGAUAAGCCUGGGAAACUGGGUCUAAUACCGGGUAGGACCACAUUUUGGAUGGUGUGGUGGAAAGUUUUUCGGUGUGGGAUGAGCUCGCGGCCUAUCAGCUUGUUGGUGGGGUAAUGGCCUACCAAGGCGUCGACGGGUAGCCGGCCUGAGAGGGUGGACGGCCACAUUGGGACUGAGAUACGGCCCAGACUCCUACGGGCGGCAGCAGUGGGGAAUAUUGCACAAUGGGCGCAAGCCUGAUGCAGCGACGCCGCGUGGGGGAUGACGGCCUUCGGGUUGUAAGCUCCUUUCGCUAGGGACGAAGCGCAAGUGACGGUACCUGGAGAAGAAGCACCGGCUAACUACGUG
rnacentral:rRNA from 1 species